rnacentral:lncRNA from 1 species
CAGAGACUUGGACAACCUCUGGUGCUGUCGGUGUUCUUCUUUCGAUCGGCACUGCAUCUUCUUCAGCAGCUCCGUCUUCUGAUGCUGAAGGGAUGAUGCUGCUCAAGUCGAGGUUUGGAUAUAAUUUUUUGAUCUCAUCUCGACCGUCUUCAUAUCCGACGUAGUAGGAGGCAAACCCACCUUUGAGGAUCUCUUCCUUGAAUUCUUUUAAAUUUUUGAAGUCCUUGAUUGCCCGACUCAAUGCCUCCCUCACCGACUCUGCUUCCAUCUUUGCCAACUCAGCAUCGGCUCAUGCAGAAGAUGACUCCUCUUCGGCCAGUGCCAACCUUUCCAGGCUGGCCCAAUGUCAUCCAUGUUCGGCUUUGAGUUCAGCAAUAUAUUCAUCUCAUUUCUG